rnacentral:lncRNA from 1 species
GAGGCAAGCUUUCCUUGGCCAGAGAUGAAGGAGCUGGGUUGAAGAGUAGACCAACAGAUACUGUUAUUUCCACAGGUGGUGAGCUGCUUAUGAGAUAAUGAACCUCCUUAUCAGGGAGGGGCUCAAG